rnacentral:rRNA from 1 species
CCUACGGGGUGCAGCAGUGGGGAAUAUUGGACAAUGGGGGGAACCCUGAUCCAGCCAUGCCGCGUGUGUGAAGAAGGCCCUCGGGUGGUAAAGCACUUUCAGUGAGGAAGAACGCCUGGUGGUUAAUACCCAUCAGGAAAGACAUCACUCACAGAAGAAGCACCGGCUAACUCCGUGCCAGCAGCCGCGGUAAUACGGAGGGUGCGAGCGUUAAUCGGAAUUACUGGGCGUAAAGCGCGCGUAGGUGGCUUGAUAAGCCGGUUGUGAAAGCCCCGGGCUCAACCUGGGAACGGCAUCCGGAACUGUCAAGCUAGAGUGCAGGAGAGGAAGGUAGAAUUCCCGGUGUAGCGGUGAAAUGCGUAGAGCUCGGGAGGAAUACCAGUGGCGAAGGCGGCCUUCUGGACUGACACUGACACUGAGGUGCGAAAGCGUGGGUAGCAAACAGGAUUAGAUACCCUUGUAGUC